GUGGAGCUUCGGCUACACACAUACUAAAAUUGGAACGAUACAGAGAAGAUUAGCAUGUGCCCCUGCGUAAGGAUGACAUAUCAAAAUCGGAAGCGUUCCAACAUUUU